GACGAACGCUGGCGGCGUGCUUAACACAUGCAAGUCGAACGGAAAGGCCCUGCUUGCAGGGUACUCGAGUGGCGAACGGGUGAGUAACACGUGGGUGAUCUGCCCUGCACUUCGGGAUAAGCCUGGGAAACUGGUUCUAAUACCGGAUAGGAGCCAUUUUUAGUGUGAUGGUUGGAAAGUUUUUUCGGUGUAGGAUGAGCUCGCGGCCUAUCAGCUUGUUGGUGGGGUAAUGGCCUACCAAGGCGGCGACGGGUAGCCGGCCUGAGAGGGUGGACGGCCACAUUGGGACUGAGAUACGGCCCAGACUCCUACGGGAGGCAGCAGUGGGGAAUAUUGCACAAUGGGCGCAAGCCUGAUGCAGCGACGCCGCGUGGGGGAUGACGGCCUUCGGGUUGUAAACUCCUUUCGCUAGGGACGAAGCUUUUUGUGACGGUACCUAGAUAAGAAGCACCGGCUAACUACGUG
rnacentral:rRNA from 1 species